GACGAACCGUGCGAACGUUGUUCGGAAUCACUGGGCUUAAAGGGCGCGUAGGCGGGCGAUCAAGUCAGUGGUGAAAUCCUCCAGCUUAACUGGAGAACUGCCUCUGAUACUGGUCGUCUCGAGGGAGGUAGGGGCAUGCGGAACUGAUGGUGGAGCGGUGAAAUGUGUUGAUAUCAUCAGGAACUCCGGUGGCGAAAGCGGCGUGCUGGACCUCUUCUGACGCUGAGGCGCGAAAGCUAGGGUAGCGAACGGGAUUAGAAACCCGU
rnacentral:rRNA from 1 species